UUUAUUUCUUUUUUAUUUUUCAAAGGAAAGAUGAAUUAACAAAAUACACUUUUUGCUCCAAGGGAUUCGAACCUGGGUAUUCUCAGGAUGAACUCAAGCGCUUUACCACUAAACCCAGAUCUCUUUUGGUACUGGGUUAAGCAUACUAAAUAAAUAUAGAACAAUAAAUUUCUCAACAUAAAUAUAGGGUUUGCGAAAAGUCACAAGGGUUCGCCCGAACCCGCACACUCUGCUGUGGCUUCGCCCCUGUUUACGCUAAGUACAAUUCUAUGAAAACUAAGGAUCAUCCUUUUUGGUAAUCAUUGAUCCACCGCUGAUAACGGCCUAGAUUCACACAGUGAUAUCGUAUUGGACACGGAUAUUACGGCCCUUCAUUAAUUGUGCAUGACAGCUUGGUAGUGCGCUUCGAGGUCGUAGAACACGAAUCGGACCCAGGGGCAUGGUCUCAAUGGUUCCGAAGGUAGGUGUUUUGCUCGGUCCUUGACGCGAGAGGCUCAUGGUCUCGAUUUCGACUCCUUGCAGUCAUAUCCUUACUUUGUUUGCUUCACUGGAGAAAAAAAGGUACUCAUUAGCUUCGGUUUUACUCGUACACAAAAACAAAAAACUAUUCCACAAAAUAUAUGUUUUCUUUGUUUUUCUGGUGUGUUCCGUUCUUAUUAGAGAGAA
rnacentral:lncRNA from 1 species